AAGCUUAAACUUCAGGCAACCUCGGUUGCUUAGGACCUUUCUUUAGCCUUGUAACUCAUGUUGAAGUAAAAUAGUCAUUUCUAAAGAAGCCUCAAAAACAUGAACUUAUGAUCCCACAAACCUGGAUCCACCCCUGGAGAGAGGUAUGGUCACCUUCCCUGAAACUUAUGGCUGAAAGGUAGAUAGAUACCAGCGUCAUCAACAUUUCACCUACGGAGAGACUGAGGCACCCAGUGCUCACAAUUACAACUAUCUCUGCUGAAUAAAAAUUUGAAUGGCAAGUUUCUCCAUAAGAGGAAAUAUUUACAUAAACAGCAUCGGUUCUGGAUAAUAUGUGGUUAUAAGAUUACCUAAUCUACUGGCUAAAUUUCUGAUGAAGUUUUCAUAAAACAACAAAACCAUUUACACAUUCAGACUGACCUUGUUUUAUGCCAAGAUUCUCCAAAUGGAGUAAGAGACCCACAGGCUUUUGUAGUAUUGUGAAUGGGAUUUCUUCCUCAAGUACAUUUUCUGGUUGACAUGGCUAAUACAUGGGAUGACUUGGACUCAAGGAAAAUUCUGAACUCAUUUGUUAGUUUGUAACUGCAGCUUUUCUUGCGUUUUCUAUGUGGACAGUCAUCUGGAAACACCACCACCAGGCAAGUUUUUUUAAAAUGGCCAUCUUUCUCAGAAUGACUUGCAUGUCACAGGAUGAGAAACUCACAGGAUAUCUGAUGUCUAAAUUAAAAACACUGUAAACUGUGUACAGAAAUGUUCUAAUGCAUAUAUUCUGGAAUAUCUUUUUCCCAUAAUGAAUUUUUCUCAAGAGAUAUAGUUAUAACUAUGUCUUUUUCCUGCUCCUGUCACCUAAAUAUUUCUUUUCCCAAGGAUUUCUUUGUAUGACUUCAAAUGACACACUAUAAAGCUAUAUAACUGGGAGUUAACGGUUGACUUAAUUUCAAGAAAAGCAUGCUACCUACUUGAGAUACAUGUAAUUUCAUAUACCAGUGAACUUCUUGGAGAAAUGGCUUUCAGAUUUAGAAAGCUUCUAUUCAAAUUGCUGCAUAAAUAGAUGGAAAUAAAGGUGUUCUUUUUUGUUUGUUUGUUUGUUUGUCAGUAACAAACUGGAUCAGCACUGGGAGUUCAACCAUAUCUGCUUCCAUUGAGAAGAGUCACACAAUGAAAAUAAAGGUCAAAGGCGCAUUGUCUUUGUGGCAUUUAUUCUGACCACCUCUCAGUGCUAGAGAAAAGUCCAGUAAUCUUCAUAAGGCAGGAGACCCUGGGAGAGUAUCUCCAGUUUCCAUGUGAACUGGAAAGUCACAGCUUUAACUGUCUCUUUUCCUAAUAUUUUGAGCUGAAUAAAAAAAAAUAUGACCA